rnacentral:rRNA from 11 species
GACAACUGUGAAUAAAUACCCUUAAGGCACGUAAUCCUACCUGAUCUUGGAAGCUAAGCAGGGUCAUCCCUGGUUUGCAUUUGAAUGAAAGGACUGCCGAUGAAUACCAGGCGCUGUAGGCU